rnacentral:miRNA from 1 species
AGGAGCUGUGGACACUUG